GUGCUUGAUGGAGCACUUCCUCCUCCUUCUCCAUACAUUGCUAGGGACUGCCUUGCCAGGUAUCACAAUGCCAUCAGUAUUUCCAUGUAGGCCACCAGAAGAAACUUUUGCUGUCACAGAAUCAUAGAAUGGUUUAUGUUGGAAAGGUCCCCAAAGGUCCUGUCCCACGCUCUACCACGGACAGGGACAUCUCCCACCAGACCAGGUUGCUCUGAGCCCCAUCCAACCUGUUCUUUUACACUUUCAGGGAUGGAGCAGCCACAACCUCUGUCAUUUCCUGAUGGUCAUUUGCUCACUGUCAUUUUCAGUGAAAUCACAGACCAAUGCCCCUCUUCUCCUUCCCUCCAGCAGGGCCAAAUUCCCAGGGAGAGCCUCCUGGAGAAUCCACUGCAGCCAGGAAUGUUUUUCUAGACAUCCCUUGAUGCACCACCGAGUUCCAGGCCUGUCACAGGACCCAUGGCAACAGCCCUGGGCUCUGCCGGGUCAGGCCAGAACAGAAGGUGGUGACAUCUGAUAAGGAACAGAUGAACUCAGGUUGCACUGUCCUCCUCCUGUGACUCCCCCUCUCCUGCCCUGCAUUCCUCUGAAAUAACUGGGGUUUCUCUCCUCACUCCCAAAUUCGGGACUGGGGCACAUCCCCUUCAGCACAUCCUUUAAAGGCAGCCCUUGUGUUUUGCAGUCCAAGUGCUCUGCUACCUCAGCUCUGCUCCUGCAUGUCCAGAAGCUCACCCUCGCUGCAGUCAUAUCCUUCCUGACACUCCUCUGCUGCACACUGAACUAUGGUCCUCUCCACCUUCAUCCUCUGAAGAGCUUCUCAGAGCAACACUUCCAGCUUCAACUUCCUUUCCAAGAUGCCAAAAUUGCACCUCACACCAGACAUGGCAGCUGGUCCCUUUGUGGCACAGAGAGGGAAGGAAUCAACAAGUUGUAACUGUAUUUCUGGCUGUAAGCAGGAAUUUCAGAGCAGCCUUUAAGGAUCCCACUUGCUGUCAGCAGAGUACAGGACAUAGCUCUGAACAGAGAUGCACUGCACAGCCCAGCCUGGUACAACACUUCCAACUGUGAUGUGCCAGCACACAUGAGAUUGGGCUCACUGGAACAGCAAACGUCUCUCAGGCUUGUGUAAUACACUAACUGCAUUUUCCCAAGCAUUUCUGUACUGCCAUAAGGUCUGGAAAUCUACUGAUAUAAGGGAGACAAUUGAUAUUUGAGAUUUGAGCGCCUCAAAGAUAACAGGUCAAUGCCUGAUUCCUUCCUGAGGCCAUUCCAGAAUCUCCACCCUCCUACACAAUGGAGUUUAUCUCUGAGGUUGUUCCUGCCCCUCCCUCUCUCUAUACCUUCAGGUAUCCCAUUAGGGAGGCUUUGAUACCCAAACCCAGUAGGAAGGCAUCCAGGUCACUCUGCCUUCACAGGAGCAGCAAGCCAUGCCCAGAGCCCUGAUCCAAGGCACUGUGUGUCCUGCUGCUGGAGGAGGAACGUGGCUGUGGGCAGGCACCUGGAAUUGUGCAGCCACCUGCAACUGCACAGCUGCCGUGGCCCAGCUGAGGGGAAACAAGCAUUGCAGGUAGGAAAGGAAGAUCUCUGUGAUCCCAAAGCACACACUGCUGGAAACGUUCGCUGGUUCUGCAAGCAUUUGGAACAAUGUGAUCCUCCUGAAGGUGCCAGCAAGUCCUUCCCUGUCCUUGCUCACUCUUGGAUUCCCAGAAUAUAAGAGGACUUUAUUCUCAACAGGGAUUGCCCCCUGCUUUUCUUUCUCCUGCAUAAAAUGGGCAAAACAGUGGUCAGAGACAGGAUGGAGCUGAGCUGCAGGCCGUGGCACGCACCUGCAGGAGUGCAAAGAAGCGCAUGG